GCGGUGGUGGCGGAAUUGGUAGACGCGCUAGCUUCAGGUGUUAGUGUCCUUCGAACGUGAGGGUUCAAGUCCCUCCUUCCGCACCA
rnacentral:tRNA from 1 species